GACGAACGCGGCGGCGUGCCUAAUACAUGCAAGUAGAACGCUGAAGAGAGGAGCUUGCUCUUCUUGGAUGAGUUGCGAACGGGUGAGUAACGCGUAGGUAACCUGCCUGGUAGCGGGGGAUAACUAUUGGAAACGAUAGCUAAUACCGCAUAAUAGCAGUUAUUGCAUGAUAACUGUUUGAAAGGUGCAAAUGCAUCACUACCAGAUGGACCUGCGUUGUAUUAGCUAGUUGGUGGGGUAACGGCUCACCAAGGCGACGAUACAUAGCCGACCUGAGAGGGUGAUCGGCCACACUGGGACUGAGACACGGCCCAGACUCCUACGGGAGGCAGCAGUAGGGAAUCUUCGGCAAUGGACGGAAGUCUGACCGAGCAACGCCGCGUGAGUGAAGAAGGUUUUCGGAUCGUAAAGCUCUGUUGUAAGAGAAGAACGAGUGUGAGAGUGGAAAGUUCACACUGUGACG
rnacentral:rRNA from 1 species